GUGUCGUGAGAUGUUGGGUUAAGUCCCGCAACGAGCGCAACCCUUGUCUUUAGUUGCCAUCAUUAAGUUGGGCACUCUAAAGAGACUGCCGGUGACAAACCGGAGGAAGGUGGGGAUGACGUCAAGUCAUCAUGCCCCUUAUGACCUGGGCUACACACGUGCUACAAUGGGCAGUACAACGAGAAGCAAACCCGCGAGGGUAAGCGGAUCUCUUAAAGCUGUUCUCAGUUCGGACUGCAGGCUGCAACUCGCCUGCACGAAGCUGGAAUCGCUAGUAAUCGCGGAUCAGCACGCCGCGGUGAAUACGUUCCCGGGCCUUG
rnacentral:rRNA from 1 species